UCUUAAAUAGUACAUCGAACUAAGCUCACAAUGACACACUCACUUUUUAAAGCUGACUUCAUUCUGGACUGUUGCAACAGUUUCGAACAAACAAUCUCAACUCAAGGUCCAUUUAUUCAUUUGUUUCGGAGCUUUCAACUGUAUCAUGGUCCUCAUCUGCAGAUAGAGUUUGUUUCUGUUUCCAAGGUCACAGAAUUAAUCAUCAAGCUCAAGUUUGCAGCCAGUGUUGAUGUUAGAUCCUAGAGGUGAUCAAACUCAUGCAAAUUGUGAACAUUUGUAUUUCCCUGGCAAUUAAGAAAACUCAAUCUGCCGAUGAGGAUCAUGUGAUACAGUCAAAAAGUAAGUGAACAAUAAGCUGAGAUUGUUUUUUGUCAACUUUAUUAUUUUACUUUCAGCACAGAGAUAUUGCAAAACUAUGACUUCAGUUUUAACGAUUCCACAGGAUGUUUUCUUUGGCGGCUGAACACAUGCAUCAUCCAGUGGUGAACGCCUCAACUCUUGUGCUUAUGGGUGCAGGUGUGGAGAAGCCACGCAGUCACAGUAUAAAAGAGAUGAAUUCGGAAAAAUGUCAGGUUUAACACAAGCACUACCCGUAUGACUGGCUGAGACUCAACCCCAGUCAGUCACUUUUUUGCAUACCAGUAACACUGUAUGUAAAUAUUUACUGUAAGCCAUUGCCAGAACACUUUUCCUCCAGUGCGCUUUGGGGGCUGCCUAAGUUGUUUUACUGUUGCUGACCUACAUACAACAUUGCCAUGUCAGCCCUCAGAAAUCCGCCAGCCCAUAGAUUCUCCAGACAGGAGACUCCCACUGAACAUAGCAACAGAAACUCUCUUCCCACCUCUCUCUCUUUCCCUCUGGAGCUAUGCGGGCCAGGCUCUGUAGCUCCAGCCUCACUUGGCUCCGGCAUUGGGGGAAGGGACUGAGUUAACAUAUGGCUUAUUGUGCAUUGUAAGCUAUGGCUUUCAGCUCAUCAACAACACUGGCUCUCCUCCUGGUGCAAAAAAAAAAAAAUUGUUGGGGUGGAAAAUUGCACUGCGCAUUUUACAUCUUAUGCAGUGUUUGUUUUCUGAAAUUUUGGCUCAUUUUUGCUGUUUAUGCAUAAACGCAAAUAAAUCGCCCUUCAGUUUGACACUAAACUCCCCAAAUGUGCACUGGCUGAGUUGUUGUCAUCGAGGCUCAGCUCUCACCACCUUAAUAACAACGUGUGUAACACUUACAAGUGGUAAUCACAUUGGCUGUGAGACUCGCAGACAGCUGGUGGAGAAUGAUGACUACCUGUUUUAUAACCAUGUUUGCUUUGGAGGAGAAUGUGUUGCUGGCACAGUUUGUGGCUCCCUUGCGUGUCUAGCAAAGCGGUCCGCCACAGUUUGGUGACGCAAGGGGAGCUAUUAAUAUCUCAGGAACGGGAUGUUCUCGCUUCAGCAUUGGGGUCAUUCGAGGAUAAACAAUGUGUGUCCCCUGUAGACGGUGUCGUUAGGGGGUUGAGGGGGGGGGGGGGGCGCCACACAACGACCUGUGGCGAGAAGUUUUUAAGGGAGAUGCUGCAACUUCUCACAUUUCCUUUCAAAGCCCCCCUUCUCCUCUCACCAUGCGCGUCCCCCCGCGGUCAGCCUGGUUCGUGCACCGCUACAGUCUGUGUGGAGCCUCGCCCACAUGUGAACCCGGUGACUUCUAGAGCGCACUCUGGCCGAAGCGGUGAAAACAGCCAUGUGAUGCAAGAGUACCUCUUUGGAAAUCCUAUGUUUUGAAAUUCAACCUUGCUAUUUUCCCUUUGAACUCUCUCUCUCUCUGCACCACAUAACGAUUUAAAUGGGGAGUGUAUGCGCUGCACCAAAAUUACAGGCCCAUCAUAACGCAUCAUAACCGGGCACAAUUGCAAGCAAGUUUGUUAAUGCAAUACUCGAGUUGAAGAAAAGAUGGGGAAUGUUUGCCUUAAAGAGUAGAAAAUGGCGGAAAAUGGAAAAAGAAAGUACUCGUAAAGGUGGAAUGAGGGCAAAAGUCAUGUGAUCAUAUGUUUAUUUGUGUCACCAAGUGCUCAAAUUGGCAGUCUAUCAUAACUAGACUGCAGAGACCAUAUUAAAGCUUUCUCCCCAGAAGACCUUUAAGACCAAGGAGUUUUUAUAGGAUCAUAACUUAAGUUGCCUUUGAUUAUCUGUCUACAGUAGCUACAGAAAGUUGGUUAACAUUAUUUAUGUAUUUUUCAGAAUUUAUUUUGUGUAGCAAAACAGUAAAGGAGGUCACAGCUGUUAUCAUACACCACAUUUCAGUCAUUUAUCAAGCAAAAAGAGUCAAAUAUACUCUGAUUUCAGCUUCCUCAAUGCAAGGACUUGAUAAUUUUCUCUGCUUUAUAUUGAAGUAAACUCAAUGUGGGGUUUGGACUUUGAAGACAUCAGCUUUAGGUGUGGGUAUUUUUUCACUAUUUUCCAACAGAUUUUAUUAGUUAAUCAAAUAAAUAAUCUGGAGAUUAAUCCAUUUAAAGAAAAUAUUGUUAGUUGCAGCUAUAAUAUUUUACAUGGAAUCAAUGUAGAUAUCAUUGUGGCUUAAUUUCAGUGUAAUGUUGCAGCACUGUGUGAGGUCUUGCAAGUCUGCAAGUCUUUGCAUUUGAGCAUGGAUGACGUGCCAUAUAAGUGCCCCCGUUGAAUGGUCUUAGAAAAGAGACCCUCAUCCUAUAGCAUCAGCACGACGAGUUAAUGCAGCGCCUGCGGACUCACCACUCAGCUGAAUGGUGGAUUUCAGAGUCAGGUCCCCUCACCGGUGCCUGCGAGGCACAUCCCUCUCCAGCCACUGCACUGAUCAAUGCAUUAUGAAUAGGGUCACUACUGACCAGCAAAUGGGUGCAAAAACAAAACUGUGUCCGCUUCAUUUUGCUCUUUUGAGCUGCAUUGUGUGAGGCGGACAAAGCCACCAUGCUGUGAUGUGAAGGAACAAUGAUGGCAGUAAACAGUAGUGGCUAAGCGUCAGCCCAGGGUCAAGUGAGUGACAUCGAUUUCAGCUCGUGAUUAUGAACUCAACUCUACAUGCAUGACAGUCGUCACGUUCACGUCAUCCAACUGAGCACUCAUCUUGAGGAGGCUGCCUCCUAUCGAAUUAUGCAACAGACAAUUCAACAUGUUCUAUCAAUGAAUGCUGGGCAGCACUCUGUUCUUUGUGGUGGCGUGCCGAGGAGGCAGCUUCGAGGCGGGGGAGGCAGGCAGGAUUAACAUACUGGUGAGAAAGGCUGCCUCUGUUGUGUGGCUGAACAUGGACAGCCUGGAGGCACAGGCAGAGGGAGGAUGACGACCAAACUGAACUCCAUCUUCAACAACACCCCCCACCCUUCCGUGAACUGAUGCACCGACCCCCUCUUACCUCCACCCCCUUCCUGCAAGGUGCCUCACAAAGCACCUUUGAGUGCUCACAAUGCUUCCUCGUCUUCCCUGCAGUCUCAGUUUACUAGUUGUUGCAGAUGAAGAAAGACACCUGCGUGGCACUGUCAAUACAAACUGUCCUGGACUGCUUUUGUGGGAUAAUCUAUGCCUCAGCUUGUAUGUUUUCCCAACUGCACAUAUCUAUGCAGUGAAAGGAACAAGGAACAAUAUUUCACCAAUGAAAAGCCAGCACAUGCAGCUCAUUGUUGCAGAGAGGCUCAGGAAGUGGAAUCGCAGCCUGUUUUGUCAUCAUUACUCACGGGGCACGAUUGUUGGUGUGUCACGAAGGAUGAGUCAGCUUUGCAGAACAUCAACAAAAAAAGAGAGUACAGCAUAGUAUUUAUAGGUGCCCACACUAUAUCCCCUCAUGUCCUACAUCAUUCCUUACUAUUCAAAUAAUUUCAGUUUAUUUGAACUGUCAGUUUUUGUCUGUGAUUUGGAAACCCUUCAGUCUGUAUUGUUCUCCUAUAAAUCAACACCAACAGGGAACAUGGCACUCCCAGAAAAAGACUGGCUUGAUGCAAUUAAACACCCUUAAGUGCUUUAUUGCUUA